rnacentral:rRNA from 1 species
GAGUUUGAUCGUGGCUCAGAACGAACGCUGGCGGCAUGCCUAACACAUGCAAGUCGAACGGGGUCCAGGCGUUCGGCCUGGUGAGAGUGGCGGACGGGUGAGUAACGCGUGGGAACCUGCCCAAUGGUCUGGGAUAACCGCGGGAAACUGCGGCUAAUACCGGAUAAGCCCGAGAGGGAAAGAUUUAUCGCCGAUGGAGGGCCCGCGUCCGAUUAGGUAGUUGGUGAGGUAACGGCUCACCAAGCCGACGAUCGGUAGCUGGUCUGAGAGGAUGAUCAGCCACACUGGGACUGAGAUACGGCCCAGACUCCUACGGGAGGCAGCAGUGGGGAAUAUUGGACAAUGGGGCAACCCUGAUCCAGCAAUGCCGCGUGAGUGAUGAAGGCCUUAGGGUUGUAAAGCUCUUUUGGCGGGACGAUGAUGACGGUACCCGCAGAAUAAGCCCGGCUAACUUCGUGCCAGCAGCCGCGGUAAC